rnacentral:rRNA from 1 species
UACGUAGGGUGCAAGCGUUGUCCGGAAUUAUUGGGCGUAAAGCGCGUGUAGGCGGCUUAGCAAGUCGGGCGUGAAAGCCCUCAGCUCAACUGAGGAAGUGCACCCGAAACUGCUGAGCUUGAGUGCCGGAGAGGAUGGCGGAAUUCCCCAAGUAGAGGUGAAAUUCGUAGAUAUGGGGAGGAACACCGGUGGCGAAGGCGGCCAUCUGGACGGUAACUGACGCUGAGACGCGAAAGCGUGGGGAGCAAACAGG